rnacentral:lncRNA from 1 species
CUGGUCUAACACACUCCCCACAUGUGGGUGCCCCACGGGCUUCCUCGGGUAUCUGAGGUCAUCGCGUGACCCUGGGUCUCCAGAGAUUGGUCGGGGCUGGGACUGGCGAAGAUUGCCGAAAGGCGGCGGGGAGGAGGAGGAGGAUGUCUUCGCUAGAGUGAGCAAGCAGAUCUCGCGGAAGCAAAUCUCGCGAGAGCUCUCAAAUCCGCAACCGCCAAAGAAAGGUUACUUUUCCCGGAAAUAACGUCAAUGGGAACCGCCCCGGAUCCUGGGAAUAUUUGUUCUCAGAGGCUAAAGAUCCAUAUGGAUGCCAUGCAUGGAGUUGUGGACCCAUAAAGAAGAAUCUCUGUGAAGAACUCGGCACUCGGCACCCCAGAAAAUUCAGCAGUUAAUUGUGUUCCCCCUGGGGCUGGGGAUGUGGCUCAAGCAGUAGCGAGCUGGCCUGGGUUCGAUCCUCAGCACCACAUACAAACAA